GCUGAGAACACGAGGUCUGGACGUGAGGGUGGAGCUUAUCUGAGUGAUGUCUCCUUCUGCAGUCUGAGGCCGAGUCCGACGCCGCAGCAGGCAGACUGUGGAAAUGGGGAGUCACUGAUUUCCCUGCGUCCGGCUCUUCCUGCCCCUGCUGUUGACUUUUUCUUUGAACGAAUGCAUUUCCUAUAUGGUUUAGGGGCAGACACUUCUCCAUGCUGAAGACCACGUGGGAGCUCUGUCCUGACCCCUUACAGCACCCGAGGCACACAAUGGCCCUGCUCUCCAGCAGUGACCAGGAAAGUCCAGGGAAGGCCCCACCGGCCCAACAUACAGAAUCAAGUAACAACUGAUGGUGUUGCUAUAUGGUUGGUUGUUGUGGUUGUCUGAAGUACUUCUACUCUGUCUUCGGAUGUCUAAUCUGCUCCUGGCAUCAGUGGCCUAGAACCUUGCUGAAGAGUUAUGAAAUAAAGAAAAGAAGCAGAAAUCGCCUUGUGGGCAAAAGGAAAAAAGGAGAAGUCAAAAGUUUCCCGGUCAAUCUGUCAUCCUGCUGCAAUUCCUGGCCCUUUCUUCCACCAGCUGCAACUAUCUAUCUUCCCUUACACAUAAGUUCAGGACAGCCUCAGACUCCUGAAGGGAUUCACCUGCUUUUGUUCAUUUUUGUUAAUUCUCCCUUGAUUCCUGUAAUUUCAUCGGGCUUAAUUUGAAGGUAGGGAGCCAAACCUGCCUUGAUAUGCCAUUUUGUCACCUACUCUGGGAAUUCCAAUCCUGUAUGUCUCUCAAGCUAAUUUUCUAGAAUAAUCCUGCUGUGGCAUUCUAAACAGACCUACCACUUGUAUGCUUCUUUAUAGAUUUUAUUUUGUAGAGCACUUUAAGGCUCACAGAAAAAUCGAUAUGAAGGUAGAGAUUUUUCUUAAACCUCUUGUCCCCGUACACGCACAACCCCUCCCACUAUUAACAUCUCUCAGCAGAAGGGUAAUAAUCCAUGAACUUGCACAUACACAUCAUCAUCACCCAAAGUCCAUAGUCUACAUUAGGUUCACUCUUGGUAUAUGUUCUAUGGAUUUUGACAAAUGUGUAAUAACAUGUAUCCACCAUUAUAGUAUCAUAUAGAGCAGUUUCACUGCCCUAAAAUCCUCUGAACUCUUCCUAUUCAUCCCUCCCUCCCCCCAACUCUUGGCAAACUGGUUGUUUUACCUUCUCCAUAUUUUUGCCUUUUCCAGAAUGUCAUGUUGUUAUGUAUAUGGCCUUUUCAGAUCGGCUUCUUUCACUUAGUAAUAUUAUUUAGGUUUCCUCCAUGUCUUUUCAUGGCUUGACGAUUCCUUUCUUUUUGGUGCUGAUUAAUAUUCCAUUGUCUGAACAGACCUCAACUCAUUUCAACAUUCACCUAUUAAAGGACAUUUCGGUUGCUUCCAAGUUUGGCAAGUAUGAAGAAAGCUGCUAUAAAUACCCAUGUGCAGGUUUUUGUGUGGACCCAAGUUUUUUAAUUGUUUGGGUAAACUCCAAGGGUAGUGAUUGUUGGAUCAUAUGAUAAGAGUAUGUUUAGUUUUGUAAGAAACUUUCAGACCUCCCAGAUGCACCAUUUUUCAUUCCCACCAUCAGUGAAUGAACAUUCCUGUUGCUCCACAUCACCAGCAUUGGGUGUUGUCAGUGUUUGAGAUUUUGGUCAUUCAAAUAAGUGCAGAGGGGUAUCUCAUUGUUGUUUUAAUUUACAUUUCCUUCACAACAUGUGAUGUUGAGUAUAUUUUCACAUCUCUUCAUGUUACUUCUAUCCUUUUUAUUCUACUAGCAAUGAGGUUUCUGAUAGCAAAUGCUGUCAGCAUGUUUCUUCAUGAAAUUAUUGCAUUGAUUCUUUCUUAGUUUUUAAUUUGGGAUCAACUUUCUCCAGAACUAAAAUUGCAUCCCCAUUUCAUAAAACUAAAAACAAAAUGAGCUCAAGUAUUUGACUCACUAUUAGUAAUACAGCUAGUCCCCAUUCUUCUAGCCCAAGAAUUGAUAUCGUUAAGCAUAUUAUCAUUUUUAGAAUUAUCCUGAAUCCAUUUGAAAAGUUGGAGAUUAAAUUUUUAUCUAUUUUCCUCAAUGAAUAAGUAAUGGUUCAUCAUGUAACCCUUUCAAUUCCUUACGAUUCAGAGGGUAUAAAUCAUCAGAUCUAAACAUACUGAAUAAAAUCAACUUCUACAUUUUUAGUUGCUUUCUUUCCAAUUCUAGUACAUGUUUCAUCUUUCCAACAUAGAAACUUUUAGUUUUAGCUCACAGGUUUUUUAAGAAAGCAAAUAAAAUCUAUGAAAAGUUCCCAACUUCUUAAUUUUACAUUAAAUUUCUAUUUUCACCAAAUGGAUAAAGAGCAUGCAUUUUAAAAAACUACAACAACAAAAUAGCAAUAAAAUUGCUUGGGGAAGAUAAAAUAAAUUUAAAUAAUUAAUUAUGGAUUAUAAAGCAUUCCUCUUGUGGAUAAAUUUGAGUAUCUCAAAAUGUAAUGAAAAUUAAUAUAUGACAACGAAAACACAACUAACAGAAGAAGAAAUCGGUAAGUUAUAUUUCAUCAAAAUUAAAAAUUUUGUGCAUCAAUAAUACUACCCAGAGAGUGAAAAGACAGCCACAGAAUGGGCCAAAAUAUUUGCAAAUUACAUAUCUGGAAAAAAUUCUGGAUAUUGGAAUAUAUAAAGUCUAGUAUGCCCAGAAUAUAUAAAGUAUCCAGAAUAUAUGAGGAACACUUACAACUCAACAACAAAAAGACACGUAACCCAAUUAAAAAAUGAGUAAAUGACUUGAAUAAAUCUUUCUCCAAAGAAGAUAACCAAAGGGCCAACAAACAUACUAAAAGAUGCUAAAAAUCAUUAGUCAUCAGGGAAAUGCAAAUUAAAACCACUAUGAAAUAUCAUCUUACAAACCCCUAGAAUAGUUGUAAGCAAAAAAUUGGCAGAUAAUGAGUAUUGGUGAGAAUGUGGAGAAAUUGGAACACUCAUACAUUGCUGGUGGGGAUUUUUUUUUUUUUUUAAGAUUUUAUUCAUGAGAGACACACACAGAGAGGGAGAGGCAGGGAUACAGGCAGAGGGAGAAGCAGGCUCCAUGCAAGGAUCCCGACAUGGGACUCGAUCCCAGGACUCCAGGAUCACACCCGGAGCUGAAGGCAGCGCUAAACCGCUGAGCCACCCAGGGAUCCCCUGCUGGUGGGAAUUUAUAACAGUGCAACUGCUAUGGAAAAUGGAUUAGAAGUUCCUCAAUAAGUUAAACAAAGAAUUACGAUAUAACUUAGCAAUUCCACCCCAAGGAAUCUACCCCAAAGAAUUCAAAACAGGUGUUCAAACAAAAACAUGUACACAAACAUAGAGCUACUGUAGCUCUGUUCACAUUAGCCAAAAGGUAGGCAUAACCCAAGUGUUUGUCAACAGAUGAAUGAGUGUACAAAGUAGGCAUAUGAUAGAAUGUUGUUUAGCUAUAGAAAAGCAAUGAAAUACUGAUACAUACUAUAACAUGGAUGACCAUUAUGAUCAAAAACACUGUGCUAAGUAAAAGAAACCAGACACAAAAUAUCGAAUUCCCUUUACAGGAAAUAUCCAGAAUAAGAAAAUCAUUAGAGACAGAAAGGAGAUUAGUGAUUGCCACUAAUUAGUGGGCUGGGGGAGAAGCAAAUGGGAGCCAUUGCUUAAUGAGACCCCCAUACGGGGGUUCCAUGGAGAUGAUGACAGUACUCUGGAAGUAGACAGUGGUGAUGUUACACAACACUGUGAGUGUACUUAUUGCCACUUAAUUGAACACUUCAAGUCGGUUGGGUGGUAAAUUUUAUUUAUGUGUAUUAUACAACAAUAAAAAAGACAAAUGCUUCAAAAGUGUAAUUUGAAUUUGUUUCACCAGUCAACUCUGUUUCAGAAACUAGUGCUUCCAUUGUUCAAAAAUAUAAUUGUUCUGUUUUAAGCUUCUUUACAGGAGCAGGGACUUGCAGCAACGUUUCUCAUCUUCAAUCUCAUGCUCUGGAAAAACAUUUUGUUUGUUUUGGUGAAUACACUUUGUUUUUCAGUUAAUUUGGCCCCCAGGUGUGUGUGGUAAAUCUUGGGACUUGAAAUGUGUGAUACAGUCUUCAUAAAUCCUUUUGGAGACAUAUUAUUCAUGGGCCUUGCUAAACUUUGUAGCUCUGGGUUUUAUUUACCAGUGUUCAAUAAACCCAGUCAUUCACUUUCUCAAUAAAGUUAAAAAUUAGGAUUUUAAA